UACGUAGGGUGCGAGCGUUAAUCGGAAUUACUGGGCGUAAAGGGCGCGUAGGCGGCUAGGCAAGUCAGGUGUGAAAGCCCCGAGCUUAACUCGGGAAUUGCAUCUGAAACUGCUGUGCUUGAGUUCUGGAGGGGGUAGUGGAAUUCCCAGUGUAGCGGUGAAAUGCGUAGAUAUUGGGAGGAACACCUGCGGCGAAGGCGGCUACCUGGACAGAAACUGACGCUGAGGCGCGAAAGCUAGGGGAGCGAACGGG
rnacentral:rRNA from 1 species